AAAAGUAUAUUAUAUAUAUAUAUAUAUAUAUAUAUAUAACAGGGAUUGAGAUAAACUAACAUUCAGAACAACUUGAAGGGUAACUUAAGGAGUUGUUGACAGAAGGUAAAAUUUUCCCUGUGGACACUAUUUCAUAAGUGUCAGUUAUGGCAGAAAGGUCUAGUACAAGUCACAAGUCACAGUCAGAGACAGAUCAGUAGACUAAGUGAUGUGUUAUCACUAGUUCCAUGGUUCACUGUAAUAGUCAACAUUUCUAAAUCAAAAAGAUUCACACAAAAAAUUGUUUUAAAGCCGAUUACAAGUGACCUUCCAAUGCUAUCCCUGUACACGCAGCACUGAUGUUUGUUGCACCACACAGCAAGACUAACUUUACUAUUUCUUCAUACAUUGAUCACAGACUUGUUUCCCCCCCCCGUCCCCCCAAGUAGACUUCCCCUAAUUUGCGAUAUAGGGCAUCUUACUCCCUCACUGUUCGGGGUUUUACACUAUUGACUCACAGCAUGCAGCCAGCUUUUUAAAUCUAUUCACGUCAAUGUCAAUUUGCAGGUUGAAUCAAUCUUUAUGUUCACACAAAUUUGGAGGGAACAAGGAUAACUUUACAUUCUUAGACAAGAUAUAUUAAGAUGCAG